rnacentral:rRNA from 1 species
AGCGAACGCUGGCGGCAGGCUUAACACAUGCAAGUCGAGCGGGCCCUUCGGGGUCAGCGGCGGACGGGUGAGUAACGCGUGGGAAUGUGCCUUCUGGUCUGGAAUAACCCUGGGAAACUAGGGCUAAUACCGGAUACGCGCUUUUGGGGAAAGGUUUACUGCCGGAAGAUCUGCCCGCGUCUGAUUAGCUAGUUGGUGGGGUAACGGCCUACCAAGGCGACGAUCAGUAGCUGGUCUGAGAGGAUGAUCAGCCACACUGGGACUGAGACACGGCCCAGACUCCUACGGGAGGCAGCAGUGGGGAAUAUUGGACAAUGGGCGCAAGCCUGAUCCAGCCCUGCCGCGUGAGUGAUGAAGGCCUUAGGGUUGUAAAGCUCUUUUAUCCGGGACGAUAAUGACGGUACCGGAGGAAUAAGCCCCGGCUAACUUCGUG